rnacentral:rRNA from 1 species
AAUCAACGCUGGCGGCGUGCCUAACACAUGCAAGUCGAACGCGAAAGUGGAGCAAUCCAUGAGUAGAGUGGCAAACGGGUGAGUAACGCGUGGGCGACCUACCUUCGAGUGGGGGAUAACCUUCCGAAAGGAGGGCUAAUACCGCAUGACAUCCCGUGUUUGGAUACACGGACAUCAAAGCCGGGGAUCGCAAGACCUGGCGCUUGAAGAUGUAUCCGCGUCUGAUUAGCUAGUUGGUGAGGUAUCGGCUCACCAAGGCGACGAUCAGUAGCCGGCCUGAGAGGGUGAGCGGCCACAUUGGGACUGAGACACGGCCCAGACUCCUACGGGAGGCAGCAGUGGGGAAUAUUGCACAAUGGGCGAAAGCCUGAUGCAGCGACGCCGCGUGAGCGAAGAAGUAUUUCGGUAUGUAAAGCUCUAUCAGCAAGGAGGAUAAUGACGGUACUUGACUAAGAAGCCCCGGCUAACUACGUGCCAGCCGCCGCCGUAAUAC